rnacentral:rRNA from 1 species
GAAAAGAAACCAACAGGGAUUGCCCCAGUAACGGCGAGUGAAGCGGCAACAGCUCAAAUUUGAAAUCUGGCCCCCGCGGGGUCCGAGUUGUAAUUUGCAGAAGAUGCUUCGGCGUCGGCCCCGGGCCAAGUCCCCCGGAACGGGGCGUCCUAGAGGGUGAGAGCCCCGUACCCUCCCGGGUGUCCUUCGCCGCGUGAAGCUCCUUCGACGAGUCGAGUUGUUUGGGAAUGCAGCUCUAAGCGGGAGGUAAAUUUCUUCUAAGGCUAAAUACCGGCCAGAGACCGAUAGCGCACAAGUAGAGUGAUCGAAAGAUGAAAAGCACUUUGGAAAGAGAGUUAAAGAGCACGUGAAAUUGUUGAAAGGGAAGCUCUUGCCGCCAGACUUGCCGCGGUUGCUCGGCUGUCCCCAGGGGCGGCGUACUCUUCCGCCGGCAGGCCAGCGUCGGUUCGGGCGGCCGGAUAAAGGCCCCGGGAAUGUGGCACCCCCCGGGGUGUGUUAUAGCCCGGGGUGCAAUGCGGUCAGCCCGGUCCGAGGCACGCGUUCGCGAGGACGCUGGCGUAAUGGCCGCAAGCGACCCGUCUUGAAACACGGACCAAGGAGUCUAACAUCUGUGCGAGUGUUUGGGCGUCAAACCCAUGCGCGUAAUGAAAGUGAACGGAGGUGGGAACCCCCUCGAGGGGCGCACCAUCGACCGAUCCUGAUGUCUUCGGAUGGAUUUGAGUAAGAGCAUAGCUGUUGGGACCCGAAAGAUGGUGAACUAUUCCCGGAUAGGGUGAAGCCAGGGGAAACUCUGGUGGAGGCUCGCAGCGGUUCUGACGUGCAAAUCGAUCGUCAAAUCUAGGAAUAGGGGCGAAAGACUAAUCGAACCAU